rnacentral:rRNA from 1 species
CCUACGGGGGGCAGCAGUGGGGAAUAUUGGACAAUGGGGGCAACCCUGGUCCAGCCAUGCCGCGUGUGUGAAGAAGGCCCUCGGGUUGUAAAGCACUUUCAGUGAGGAAGAACGCCUGGUGGUUAAUACCCAUCAGGAAAGACAUCACUCACAGAAGAAGCACCGGCUAACUCCGUGCCAGCAGCCGCGGUAAUACGGAGGGUGCGAGCGUUAAUCGGAAUUACUGGGCGUAAAGCGCGCGUAGGUGGCUUGAUAAGCCGGUUGUGAAAGCCCCGGGCUCAACCUGGGAACGGCAUCCGGAACUGUCAAGCUAGAGUGCAGGAGAGGAAGGUAGAAUUCCCGGUGUAGCGGUGAAAUGCGUAGAGAUCGGGAGGAAUACCAGUGGCGAAGGCGGCCUUCUGGACUGACACUGACACUGAGGUGCGAAAGCGUGGGUAGCAAACAGGAUUAGAUACCCGUGUAGUC